GACAGCAGCAGCCGCGGUAAUACAGAGGGUGCGAGCGUUAAUCGGAUUUACUGGGCGUAAAGCGUGCGUAGGCGGCUUCUUAAGUCGGAUGUGAAAUCCCUGAGCUUAACUUAGGAAUUGCAUUCGAUACUGGGAAGCUAGAGUAUGGGAGAGGAUGGUAGAAUUCCAGGUGUAGCGGUGAAAUGCGUAGAGAUCUGGAGGAAUACCGAUGGCGAAGGCAGCCAUCUGGCCUAAUACUGACGCUGAGGUACGAAAGCAUGGGGAGCAAACAGGAUUAGAUACCCGCGUAGUCCCUGUCUCUUAUAC
rnacentral:rRNA from 1 species